GACGAACGCUGGCGGCGUGCUUAACACAUGCAAGUCGAGCGGAAAGGCCUGCUUUCCCUUGUGGAUUGCGGGUACUCGAGUGGCGAACGGGUGAGUAACACGUGAGUGAUCUGCCCCCAACUUGGGUAUAAGCCUGGGAAACUGGGUCUAAUUCCCGAUAGGACUGCAGGGUGGUGCCUGUGGUGGAAAACGAUUUUCUAGUGGUUGGGGAUGAGCUCGCGGCCUAUCAGCUUGUUGGUGGGGUAAUGGCCUACCAAGGCGGCGACGGGUAGCCGGCCUGAGAGGGUGGACGGCCACAUUGGGACUGAGAUACGGCCCAGACUCCUACGGGAGGCAGCAGUGGGGAAUAUGGCACAAUGGGCGGAAGCCUGAUGCAGCGACGCCGCGUGGGGGAUGACGGCCUUCGGGUUGUAAACUCCUUUCGACCGCGAGGAAGCCACCUGGUUGGAAGGGUGGUGACGGUAGUGGUAGAAGAAGCACCGGCUAACUACGUG
rnacentral:rRNA from 1 species